AGGAUGAACGCUGGCGGCGUGCCUAAUACAUGCAAGUCGAGCGGUAAGGCCACUUCGGUGGUACACGAGCGGCGGACGGCUGAGUAACACGUAGGAACGUACCCCAAACUGAGGGAUAAGCACCAGAAAUGGUGUCUAAUACCGCAUGUGAUCUUCGGAUUAAAGCUUCGGCGCUUUGGGAACGGCCUGCGCAUGAUUAGCUUGUUGGUGAGGUAAUAGCUCACCAAGGCGACGAUCAUUAGCUGGUCUGAGAGGAUGACCAGCCAGACUGGGACUGAGAACGGCCCAGACUCCUACGGGAGGCAGCAGUAGGGAAUUUUCCACAAUGGGCGAAAGCCUGAUGGAGCAACGCCGCGUGCAGGAUGAAGGCUCUCGGGUCGUAAACUGCUUUUAUAUGUGAAGAUUAUGACGGUAGCAUAUGAAUAAGGAUCGGCUAACUCCGUGCCAGCAGCCGC
rnacentral:rRNA from 1 species